ACUGGAACCCGGGCCGAGGGCUGAGCGCAGCAGGCGCAAGACUGGUCUCUCACCGGCCUCCGCGGGAGGCGCGGCCAGAGCCCCGGCCUGGCCGGAGGAUGUUCAGUGCCUCGGCCUCGCAGGGGGCCCAGGGGGCCGCCAGGGCCGCGCUCGGGGGCUACUCCCAAGCCUACGGUACCGUCUGCCAGUCGGCACUGGGCUGCCUGCCCUUGCUCCCGGUACCCCGCCCCUGAGCCGCCCUGCCCGCCUUCAGCCCCGGCCCCGCCCUCCCCCCCUGGAAUACUCCCGCCCCUCCUCCAGCCCGGAGCCCCGGAAACCAGCGCUUUCCACCCACCUUUUCCCCAAACCCCCUUCACCUGGCCACAUCUGGGUUCCGGAGCCUGUCUGGGCCUCCCUGGGGGAGUAGGUGACGCUCACUCCCCAGCGUCAAUCACUUCCUCCAAUAAAGUCUUGUCUGUCCCCA